rnacentral:rRNA from 1 species
CCCGCACAAGCGGUGGAUGAUGUGGAUUAAUUCGAUGCAACGCGAAGAACCUUACCUGCUCUUGACAUGCCAGGAACCUUGGAGAGAUCUGAGGGUGCCCGAAAGGGAAUCUGGACACAGGUGCUGCAUGGCUGUCGUCAGCUCGUGUCGUGAGAUGUUGGGUUAAGUCCCGCAACGAGCGCAACCCUUAUCAUUAGUUGCUACGCAAGGGCACUCUAAUGAGACUGCCGGUGACAAACCGGAGGAAGGUGGGGAUGACGUCAAGUCCUCAUGGCCCUUAUGAGCAGGGCUUCACACGUCAUACAAUGGUCGGUACAGAGGGUUGCCAACCCGCGAGGGGGAGCCAAUCCCACAAAGCCGAUCGUAGUCCGGAUCGCAGUCUGCAACUCGACUGCGUGAAGUCGGAAUCGCUAGUAAUCGCGGAUCAGCAUGUCGCGGUGAAUACGUUCCCGGGCG